GGGAUUCGCCGCGUUGACUUCUAGUGAGCUGGCCCUAAAUGACUGGAGCAUGCGCACUAGCAGCUGGACGGAUGGUUUUGCAGUUGUUUGGUUCCAAGAUUUUCCUCCUACAAUGACUUUGCCUUGGCGAAUCACACACGUGUAGCGUCCCUGGGCUUCUUCCUCUGCUUUUAGAACCAGGCUGCUUAGGGACAAUCUAACUAACCCAGGUGUAGAGGAAGAGAGACGAGCUCCAUCUUUAUACCAACUGAUCGAACCAAACAAUGGACCACAGCAACAUAAGGAUCAGGGUGACGUAAGGAUAAAAUGACACUGAUGUCCACAGGAUCCUGAAAUCUCAAGGGAAUCACAUCUAGAGCUUGAAGAAGGACAGCCUUAAAGGACAUGGAAAGGCAAAAAAAUAAAAUCCCAUUUUUACUUUCUUUAAUGAAAAAGAAACCUAUCUCCAAUAUACUUUUAUUAAAAAAUGUGUACCGUUUUUAUAAGAAACCUGACUGGAUGCAGUGAAAUUCUCCCUUCAUUUACUGCUGUGGAUAGGAAUUGUCAUAUGGUCCCUAACUGCAGAGCAGGGAAACAAUCAUACUUAUGAACAGCAGGGGGAGCGCCCGCCUUAUUUACCAGCCGUGCAGAACUCAAGCAGCUUUGUUUAAGACGAUCCCAAAGCAGUCCAGACCUCACUGAGCAUGUGCAGUGUCAGGGUCAGGCAAAGCUGUUUAACAAAGUUACAAGAUGACAGCCCCCUGUGGCCAACUUUGAAAGCAUAAAUCAUUUGUUUAAUUAGGCUUUGUGGUGCAGUAAGUUCAUGUUUAUGUUUAGUAUACAAAAUACAGCAUUUCUAGCCUUAUUCUAUUUAAGACUUUCCUUGUCCUUUAACAAAGGAUCAAAGAUCAGUGGUUAAAAGAACACUGUGCCUAAAACAAGGUUCUUCUUUACUCUGUAGUAAAUUUGCUUGUACUGUGUUAGCAUUUUAUCACAGGGGUCAUUCAUCUUAUUUGGCACCGACAUUAUUAUGUGUGCAGGGUUCAGAGCCCACCAUUUUUAUUAAUUUGAUGACUGAUUGCAUGAAGAAAGCUUAGAAAUGCAGAAAAUAGCUCUGUACUAUUUUUUUUAAAAAAAUUUUAAUUUUUAUGAACAAAAAAAAUAACCCAGAAGAAGACAAAUUAAAAAAUGAAACAAAUAUUUUUAUAUAAGACAAAAUUACAAUAUGACAACAAGCUUAUAAAUGGAACAUACCGUAUAUGGCUCAUUCAUUUAUUUCAAAGGGGCAAUUUGCAAAUGACAAAAAAUGUAAAAAACACUUUUUUCCCCUACCAAACCCCUAGCUUGUGUGUUUCCCAGAAUGGGCAAGUUGAUUGUGUUGGGGGAUGCAGAAAUGUUAGAAACCCUAUGCUUAUCUCAUGCUAUUGGCAGUGCAGUAGUGAAGACUUUAAAGGAGCCACACACACCAUAUAUUAUGCAGGCGGGAAGCUUACCCCUUCAUUGUGCCAAUAAUUUUCACAAUAAUUAUAUUGUUAAAUCUAAUGUUUUCCUGAAUAGCUAUUACUGUUCUGUAAAAUUUACUGAAGAAUAAUUAAUCAGUCCUUCUACAUCACCCUUAUA